rnacentral:tRNA from 1 species
GAAGGUAUAGCUCAGUGUAGAGCACAUUCUCUGUAAGCCUGAGGUCCUGGGUUCAAUUCCCAGUACCUCCA